rnacentral:ncRNA from 1 species
AAUAGUAAAAUUUUUAUAUAAGUUCAUAAUGGGUUGAACGUCUCUACCAACUACCGUAAAUAGUUGAUUAUGAAAAUUUUAAA